CGGUGAUGAUGUCUGAUCUCACGAUGGUCUGCAGAGACCCCCCCAGGGGGGCUGCUGACACUGCCAGUGGCAACUGCUGA
rnacentral:snoRNA from 1 species